UGCGUAGGCGGGCUAAUAAGUCAGUGGUGAAAUCUCUCGGCUCAACCGGGAAACUGCCAUUGAUACUGUUAGUCUUGAGUCCGGUUGAGGUAGGCGGAAUGUGUAAUGUAGCGGUGAAAUGCUUAGAUAUUACACAGAACACCAAUUGCGUAGGCAGCUUACUAGACCGACACUGACGCUGAGGCACGAAAGCGUGGGGAGCGAACAGGAUUAGAUACCCUGGUAGUCC
rnacentral:rRNA from 1 species